AGAAGGGGCGGCGUGCUAAUACAUGCAAGUCGAACGCUUCUUUUUCCACCGGAGCUUGCUCCACCGGAAAAAGAGGAGUGGCGAACGGGUGAGUAACACGUGGGUAACCUGCCCAUCAGAAGGGGAUAACACUUGGAAACAGGUGCUAAUACCGUAUAACAAUCGAAACCGCAUGGUUUUGAUUUGAAAGGCGCUUUCGGGUGUCGCUGAUGGAUGGACCCGCGGUGCAUUAGCUAGUUGGUGAGGUAACGGCUCACCAAGGCCACGAUGCAUAGCCGACCUGAGAGGGUGAUCGGCCACAUUGGGACUGAGACACGGCCCAAACUCCUACGGGAGGCAGCAGUAGGGAAUCUUCGGCAAUGGACGAAAGUCUGACCGAGCAACGCCGCGUGAGUGAAGAAGGUUUUCGGAUCGUAAAACUCUGUUGUUAGAGAAGAACAAGGAUGAGAGUAACUGUUCAUCCCUUGACGGUAUCUAACCAGAAAGCCACGGCUAACUACGUGCCAGCAGCCGCGGUAAUACGUAGGUGGCAAGCGUUGUCCGGAUUUAUUGGGCGUAAAGCGAGCGCAGGCGGUUUCUUAAGUCUGAUGUGAAAGCCCCCGGCUCAACCGGGGAGGGUCAUUGGAAACUGGGAGACUUGAGUGCAGAAGAGGAGAGUGGAAUUCCAUGUGUAGCGGUGAAAUGCGUAGAUAUAUGGAGGAACACCAGUGGCGAAGGCGGCUCUCUGGUCUGUAACUGACGCUGAGGCUCGAAAGCGUGGGGAGCAAACAGGAUUAGAUACCCUGGUAGUCCACGCCGUAAACGAUGAGUGCUAAGUGUUGGAGGGUUUCCGCCCUUCAGUGCUGCAGCUAACGCAUUAAGCACUCCGCCUGGGGAGUACGACCGCAAGGUUGAAACUCAAAGGAAUUGACGGGGGCCCGCACAAGCGGUGGAGCAUGUGGUUUAAUUCGAAGCAACGCGAAGAACCUUACCAGGUCUUGACAUCCUUUGACCACUCUAGAGAUAGAGCUUCCCCUUCGGGGGCAAAGUGACAGGUGGUGCAUGGUUGUCGUCAGCUCG
rnacentral:rRNA from 1 species